rnacentral:misc_RNA from 1 species
GAUGAAGAACGUAGCGAAAUGCGAUAAGUAGUGUGAAUUGCAGAAUUCAGUGAAUCAUCGAAUCUUUGAACGCACAUUGCGCCCCUUGGUAUCCCGAGGGGCAUGCCUGUUCGAGCGUCAUUUCACCACUCAAGCCUGGCUUGGUGUUGGGCGACGUCCCCUUUGGGGACGCGCCUCGAAACGCUCGGCGGCGUGGCACCGGCUUUAAGCGUAGCAGAAUCUUUCGCUUUGGAAUUCGGGGCCCCGUCUGCCGGAAGACCUACUCGCAAGGUUGACCUCGGAUCAGGCAGGGAUACCCGCUGAACUUAAGCAUAUCAAUAAGCGGAGGA